rnacentral:rRNA from 1 species
UAUGGUAUGCGAGUGACGGUACUUUACCAGAAAGCCACGGCUAACUACGUGCCAGCAGCCGCGGUAAUACGUAGGUGGCGAGCGUUAUCCGGAAUCAUUGGGCGUAAAGAGGGAGCAGGCGGCCGCAAGGGUCUGUGGUGAAAGACCGAAGCUAAACUUCGGUAAGCCAUGGAAACCGGGCGGCUAGAGUGCGGAAGAGGAUCGUGGAAUUCCAUGUGUAGCGGUGAAAUGCGUAGAUAUAUGGAGGAACACCAGUGGCGAAGGCGACGGUCUGGGCCGCAACUGACGCUCAUUCCCGAAAGCGUGGGGAGCAAAUAGG